AGUCGAACGAAGUCCUUCGGGGCUUAGUGGCGCACGGGUGCGUAACGCGUGGGAAUCUGCCCCUUGGUUCGGAAUAACAGUUGGAAACGACUGCUAAUACCGGAUGAUGACGUAAGUCCAAAGAUUUAUCGCCGAGGGAUGAGCCCGCAUAGGAUUAGGUAGUUGGUGUGGUAAAGGCGCACCAAGCCGACGAUCCUUAGCUGGUCUGAGAGGAUGAUCAGCCACACUGGGACUGAGACACGGCCCAGACUCCUACGGGAGGCAGCAGUGGGGAAUAUUGGACAAUGGGCGAAAGCCUGAUCCAGCAAUGCCGCGUGAGUGAUGAAGGCCUUAGGGUUGUAAAGCUCUUUUACCCGGGAUGAUAAUGACAGUACCGGGAGAAUAAGCUCCGGCUAACUCCGUGCCAGCAGCCGCGGUAAUACGGAGGGAGCUAGCGUUAUUCGGAAUUACUGGGCGUAAAGCGCACGUAGGCGGCUUUGUAAGUAAGAGGUGAAAGCCCAGAGCUCAACUCUGGAAUUGCCUUUUAGACUGCAUCGCUUGAAUCAUGGAGAGGUCAGUGGAAUUCCGAGUGUAGAGGUGAAAUUCGUAGAUAUUCGGAAGAACACCAGUGGCGAAGGCGGCUGACUGGACAUGUACUGACGCUGAGGUGCGAAAGCGUGGGGGGCAAACAGGAUUAGAUACCCUGGUAGUCCACGCCGUAAACGAUGAUAACUAGCUGUCCGGACACUUGGUGUUUGGGUGGCGCAGCUAACGCAUUAAGUUAUCCGCCUGGGGAGUACGGCCGCAAGGUUAAAACUCAAAUGAAUUGAC
rnacentral:rRNA from 1 species